rnacentral:rRNA from 1 species
AACGAACGCUGGCGGCAGGCUUAACACAUGCAAGUCGAACGCCCCGCAAGGGGAGUGGCAGACGGGUGAGUAACGCGUGGGAAUCUACCCAUCCCUACGGAACAACUCCGGGAAACUGGAGCUAAUACCGUAUACGCCCUUCGGGGGAAAGAUUUAUCGGGGAUGGAUGAGCCCGCGUUGGAUUAGCUAGUUGGUGGGGUAAAGGCCUACCAAGGCGACGAUCCAUAGCUGGUCUGAGAGGAUGAUCAGCCACAUUGGGACUGAGACACGGCCCAAACUCCUACGGGAGGCAGCAGUGGGGAAUAUUGGACAAUGGGCGCAAACCUGAUCCAGCCAUGCCGCGUGAGUGACGAAGGCCUUAGGGUUGUAAAGCUCUUUCACCGGAGAAGAUAAUGACGGUAUCCGGAGAAGAAGCCCCGGCUAACUUCGUGCCAGCCGCCGCGGUAA